rnacentral:rRNA from 1 species
UGGGGAAUAUUGGACAAUGGGCGCAAGCCUGAUCCAGCCAUGCCGCGUGAGUGAUGAAGGCCCUAGGGUUGUAAAGCUCUUUCACCGGUGAAGAUAAUGACGGUAACCGGAGAAGAAGCCCCGGCUAACUUCGUGCCAGCAGCCGCGGUAAUACGAAGGGGGCUAGCGUUGUUCGGAAUUACUGGGCGUAAAGCGCACGUAGGCGGACAUUUAAGUCAGGGGUGAAAUCCCGGGGCUCAACCCCGGAACUGCCUUUGAUACUGGGUGUCUAGAGUUCGAGAGAGGUGAGUGGAAUUCCGAGUGUAGAGGUGAAAUUCGUAGAUAUUCGGAGGAACACCAGUGGCGAAGGCGGCUCACUGGCUCGAUACUGACGCUGAGGUGCGAAAGCGUGGGAGCAAACAGGAUUAGAUACCCUGGUAGUCCACGCCGUAAACGAUGGAAGCCAGCUGUCGGCAAGUUUACUUGUCGGUGGCGCAGCUAACGCAUUAAGCUUCCCGCCUGGGGAGUACGGCCGCAAGAUUAAAACUCAAAGGAAUUGACGGGGUCAUAGCUGUUUCCUG